CGGGGUGCACGUGCAACGGAGACACCGCCCCUAAACCUGGGGCCCUGAGGCUAACAGCUAACAGUGGCCCUGCCGUUACGGCCAGUGUCAGGUGCCAGCUGGGCUGGACCAGGAAUUCCCAGAAACCUGGCAAGGCAUGAUUUGGGGUGGGUCGUGCUGAGGGCCACACCAUCCGCUUCCCCGCUUCUGAGGCCUUCCGACCUGGGCUGAGCCCGGCUACCCGAGUCCCGGGGUCUCCGGCUCACAGACUUCUCGGCCUCCGUAAUUGCAAACGCCAGCUCCCCCAGUCCAUCUCCUGUCCUGGAUCUACGUCUAUAUCCUACUGGAUCCGUCUCUCUGGAGAACCCUAAUACAGCUGUCAACACAAGGAUGAACUAACUACAAGAAGGCCUGAAUAGGAACUCUCCCAGGGGACGAAGAGGUUUCAGCCUUCAGCAAAGGAUGGUUCAUAGAAACCGUUCGCAUAGUCGGCCCUCCACGGACUGCAACCCUAGUUAAUAUUACCUACAGUAAACAAAAAAUUCAAGUAUAGAUUUUAGUCUAAAGCAAAUAGGAAAUGUCGCUUCCCUGGACGUUGGGAGAAGCAAACACGAAUCCUCUCCUGAGGCCGGAAGCGGUGGCUCACGCCUGUAAUCCCAGCACUUUGGGAGGCUGAGGCGGGCGGAUCAUUUUAUAACUAUCUAUUAAAUGGUUUAAGUUUUCAGUCCAUUUUUCCUGUCUACAUGGAAUUGCCGACUGCACAAAGAACACAUGAGGGCUCUCUCAAGGCCAUCAUUUCCGCGGAGUCCCAUUUCCUGACUCAAAUGACAAGCUCUCAACUUUCUACUCAAGAUCAUUGAAACAUCUGUGUUGAUUAUUUGUAACCGGGAUAUGCUUUAUUUAUUAGAUAAGAGACUAACCGUUGGUGCGUUGAUG
rnacentral:lncRNA from 1 species